CCUACGGGGGGCAGCAGCAAGGAAUUUUGCGCAAUGGGCGAAAGCUGACGCAGCAACGCCGCGUGGGGGAUGAAGGCCUUCGGGUUGUAAACCCCUUUUGCGAGGGAAGCGGUACCUCGCGAAUAAGCCACGGCUAACUACGUGCCAGCAGCCGCGGUAAUACGUAGGUGGCAAGCGUUGUCCGGAUUUACUGGGCGUAAAGCGCGCGCAGGCGGACUGAUCAGUCUGGGGUGAAAUCUCACGGCUCAACUGUGAGCGGUCCCUGGAUACUGUCAGCCUUGAGGACCUAGAGGAGAGCGGAAUUCCCGGUGUAGUGGUGGAAUGCGUAGAUAUCGGGAAGAACACCAGUGGCAAAGCGGCUCUCUGGGGGUUUCUGACGCUGAGGCGCGAAAGGUGGGGAGCGAACCGGAUUAGAUACCCCAGUAGUC
rnacentral:rRNA from 1 species